GUUUGAUCAUGGCUCAGAACGAACGCUGGCGGCGUGCCUAACACAUGCAAGUCGAACGAGAAAGGGGCUUCGGCUCCGAGUAAAGUGGCGCACGGGUGAGUAACACGUGGGUAACCUGCCUCUAAGAUUGGGAUAACUCGUCGAAAGAUGAGCUAAUACCGAAUAAGACCACAGUUCCUGCGGGAACGGGGGUCAAAGGUAGCCUCUGCUUGCAAGCUAUCACUUAGAGAUGGGCCUGCGCACCAUUAGCUAGUUGGUAGGGUAACGGCCUACCAAGGCAAAAAUGGUUAGCUGGUCUGAGAGGAUGAUCAGCCACACUGGAACUGAGACACGGUCCAGACUCCUACGGGAGGCAGCAGUGGGGAAUAUUGCGCAAUGGGCGAAAGCUUGACGCAGCAACGCCGCGUGAGUGAUGAAGGCCUUCGGGUCNUAAAGCUCUGUCGGGAGGAACGAAUGCUCCUGAGGUUAACAGCCUCNGGAA
rnacentral:rRNA from 1 species